ACCUGCUAUAGUGUUUCCCUUCAUCUCUGUUUUUUCCUGACUCUCUCUAGGAUACGUUCUUCCUUUGCCUUUUUCAACUGAUGCUACUGAUCAUGGUGACCGCAGAAUGAGUGGUAGUUUCUAAGGAGUGAUUCCUGGACAAUAUUUUACAAUUGCUGUUGUUGUUUGGCCGCCCUUUGUGUCCAGCUCUUUGCAACCCCAUGGACUGCAGCACACCAGGGCUCCCUGUCCCUCACCAUCUCCUGCCGAAAUUUGCCAAGUUCAUG
rnacentral:lncRNA from 1 species